GAGUAAUGCGUGACCAACCUGCCCCAUGCUCCAGAAUAGCUCUUGGAAACGGGUGGUAAUGCUGGAUGCUCCAACUUGACGCAUGUCUUGUUGGGAAAGUGUUUAGUGGCAUGGGAUGGGGUCGCGUCCUAUCAGCUUGUAGGCGGGGUAAUGGCCCACCUAGGCUUCGACGGGUAGCCGGCCUGAGAGGGCGGACGGCCACAUUGGGACUGAGAUACGGCCCAGACUCCACGGGAGGCAGCAGAU
rnacentral:rRNA from 1 species